UUAGCAGCGCAAGCAUUCCGUUCAUCUACGUUGGCUUUUUUAGACCUGAGAUUGAUGCUAUCAGUGCCAAGCAAAGAGAGUGCCAAGUGCUUCUUGCAGCGGCUAGACAGUCGGGUACCUUGAAAAGCUCCCUUUCCAGAAUUCUUCACUUAUUGCAUAUUUUCGUCACCUAUCCAUUCACCCCGAGCACCAUCAUUGGCCAAUUUCCCUUGUGCUCGUGAAGAUGGAAUGGGGCUACACAGGAAAAAUUUCUGCUAAAACCAGGAAGUGGAUUCAUGUCCCCACCAGAGAUUUGGGGCAAGGUUACAGCUGAUCUGCAGAAAUCUUCAUCUGUCCAAUCCCCUUUCCGGAGAAAGCAUUCCUAUUAUUUGUGGCGACUAAAGGAAAGGUAACAGAUGCGUGCCGUGGGAAUAGAUUUCUGUCGCUUCCGCCUGCGAUUAAAUUCUGAAUUAUGUUCUUUCUGCAUUGGUAAUGAGGUUG